rnacentral:rRNA from 1 species
GAUGAACGCUGGCGGCGUGCCUAAUACAUGCAAGUCGAGCGAACAGACGAGGAGCUUGCUCCUCUGACGUUAGCGGCGGACGGGUGAGUAACACGUGGAUAACCUACCUAUAAGACUGGGAUAACUUCGGGAAGCCGGAGCUAAUACCGGAUAAUAUAUUGAACCGCAUGGUUCAAUAGUGAAAGACGGUUUUGCUGUCACUUAUAGAUGGAUCCGCGCCGCAUUAGCUAGUUGGUAAGGUAACGGCUUACCAAGGCAACGAUGCGUAGCCGACCUGAGAGGGUGAUCGGCCACACUGGAACUGAGACACGGUCCAGACUCCUACGGGAGGCAGCAGUAGGGAAUCUUCCGCAAUGGGCGAAAGCCUGACGGAGAAACGCCGCGUGAGUGAUGAAGGUCUUCGGAUCGUAAAACUCUGUUAUUAGGGAAGAACAAAUGUGUAAGUAACUAUGCACGUCUUGACGGUACCUAAUCAGAAAGCCACGGCUAACUACGU